UACGUAGGGCGCGAGCGUUAUCCGGAAUUAUUGGGCGUAAAGAGCUCGUAGGCGGUUUGUCACGUCUGCUGUGAAAACUGGAGGCUCAACCUCCAGCCUGCAGUGGAUACGGGCAGGCUAGAGUUCGGUAGGGGAGAUUGGAAUUCCUGGUGUAGCGGUGGAAUGCGCAGAUAUCAGGAGGAACACCAAUGGCGAAGGCAGAUCUCUGGGCCGUAACUGACGCUGAGGAGCGAAAGCAUGGGGAGCGAACAGG
rnacentral:rRNA from 1 species